CAGUCGCCACGGGAACACGAAGGGUGCAAGCGUUAAUCGGAAUUACUGGGCGUAAAGCGUGCGUAGGCGGUGAGUUAAGUCUGCUGUGAAAUCCCCGGGCUCAACCUGGGAAUGGCAGUGGAUACUGGCUCGCUAGAGUGUGUCAGAGGAUGGUGGAAUUCCCGGUGUAGCGGUGAAAUGCGUAGAGAUCGGGAGGAACAUCAGUGGCGAAGGCGGCCAUCUGGGACAACACUGACGCUGAGGCACGAAAGCGUGGGGAGCAAACAGGAUUAGAUACCCGCGUAGUCCCUGUCUCUUAUAC
rnacentral:rRNA from 1 species